rnacentral:rRNA from 1 species
ACGAACGCUGGCGGCGCGCCUAACACAUGCAAGUCGAACGGAGCUGAGAGAAGCUUGCUUUUCUUAGCUUAGUGGCGAACGGGUGAGUAACGCGUGAGUAACCUGCCCUGGAGUGGGGGACAACAGUUGGAAACGACUGCUAAUACCGCAUAAGCCCACGAUCCGGCAUCGGAUUGAGGGAAAAGGAUUUAUUCGCUUCAGGAUGGACUCGCGUCCAAUUAGCUAGUUGGUGAGGUAACGGCCCACCAAGGCGACGAUUGGUAGCCGGACUGAGAGGUUGAACGGCCACAUUGGGACUGAGACACGGCCCAGACUCCUACGGGAGGCAGCAGUGGGGGAUAUUGCACAAUGAGGGAAACCCUGAUGCAGCGACGCCGCGUGGAGGAAGAAGGUUUUCGGAUUGUAAACUCCUGUCGUUAGGGACGAUAAUGACGGUACCUAACAAGAAAGCACCGGCUAACUACGUG